rnacentral:lncRNA from 1 species
GUUGAGUUUUCUCCCUUUGAUAACAAAAGACCUUAAGGCUUUUGGACCAACCAAUUCACCAACUCAUUUUGAGAUUUUUACCCCGAACUACGAGGUUUUGAUCCUAAUCUUUUUUACAAGAUGGUACGUAGGCAAUGGGUUUAUCCAUCCAAACACAAAAUGCAAAUAACUCGUACAUUCUCUUCUCAUCUCUUCCAUCAUGUUUGCACAAACAAAUUUUUCACAAG